rnacentral:rRNA from 1 species
UAGGGAAUCUUCGGCAAUGGGGGCAACCCUGACCGAGCAACGCCGCGUGAGUGAAGAAGGUUUUCGGAUCGUAAAGCUCUGUUGUAAGAGAAGAACGUGUGUGAGAGUGGAAAGUUCACACAGUGACGGUAAUUUACCAGAAAGGGACGGCUAACUACGUGCCAGCAGCCGCGGUAAUACGUAGGUCCCGAGCGUUGUCCGGAUUUAUUGGGCGUAAAGCGAGCGCAGGCGGUUUAAUAAGUCUGAAGUUAAAGGCAGUGGCUUAACCAUUGUUCGCUUUGGAAACUGUUAAACUUGAGUGCAGAAGGGGAGAGUGGAAUUCCAUGUGUAGCGGUGAAAUGCGUAGAUAUAUGGAGGAACACCGGUGGCGAAAGCGGCUCUCUGGUCUGUAACUGACGCUGAGGCUCGAAAGCGUGGGGAGCAAACAGG